CGCUCCUUGUGGAGGCUGCAGCGGAACGAGCCCGGGUGGUUCGUCGGGGAGCACAUGCAGGAGGACCGCCGGCUCCUGGAGGAGACGGUGGGAAGUUGUUUCGGGGAGGAGACGCUGACGGACUUGCCCGGCGAGCGGGCGGGGAGGUUGACUCGGGUGGGCGAGGCCGAGCGGUAGCUGGUGAUCAACAGCACCGGGCCGCUGGGCCGACUCGCCGUCGCCGUCGCCGUCGCCAUGAGAGAGAGAUAUUAGAGUGGUGGAGCAGUUGGACGGAAUCCGGUGCGCGGAGAGGAUGGCUGGUUUUUGAGACUUGCGAGUGGACUGAGAAGGGAGCUGGAAUUUAUAGAGCCUGGAGGGGUAUUCCGGUAAAUUCAUGGGUCGGGAGCUUGGUUCGGUCGACUUAACUAACUGGGGUUAACACUGGGGGCGUAAAGCAGGUGAGCGUCUGUGCCGUGGGCCCGGACGGCUAGCACACCGGAAUCGGUUCACAAAUUUUUAGGACCCGUGCCAACUUGCUUUGAAUAUUUUGAAAUGCUGCAUGCUUACUGUGGUACGGGUGCCAUUCCAACGUCGUCGCCGUCAGAAAACCGGUUACGGCACACCGGAAUGACGGGACCCAGAACACAAAAAGGAAGUUAUCAUUUUUUAAACGCUCCGAGCGAGGCAGGUGACGGUCAGGUUGGCACGACCAGGACCUGCACGACGUGACGCGCCAGCAGCCGGAUCGGACGGCCGUGGGAUCGCCUCCGCCGCUUUGCUUGAAACGCGGCCGACCUCUGAACGCUCCACACGGUGGCAUCGGCCGCAACAUCUCAGUCGCUGUAAUUGGUUCGUGGAGUCUGCGCCAAGGAAGGGAUCAUGGAGCCCGCCGGCGAUGUGCGUGCAUGUGACCCGGCGACAAGAUGAUCCUCUGUUCAACACACCGUGCCCAGUGCCCUCUUGGGGUCUGUGGGCAUAAUCAGUAACCCGCUCACUGACAACGCAGUAGAGGACAGCUCUGGUGCUCCAUUCUUUUACUGAGAUGCAGUGCUGAAAAGGCAGCCUUGUUCAUGUCAGGUCAUGGCCACGCACAUGCGCGCGUGCACUACAUCCCGACGCCGCGCGCAACAGCUAUGCACAUGCAUGGUAGCUCGACCUCGCGGCGUGGCACGGACACAUACUGGGAGAGAGCGUGGCGACGGCCGGCCGUGAGCACAGCAAAUAGCCGGCCGCCGCAGCUGGCGCACGGAGCGAGCGCUCUGGGGCGGGCGCUACUAGGGUUCAUUUUGUUUACGUUUUAUGACUGGCCACACCUUGUCGUUUGGAUUCGGAACAGCUUGCACCACUCACGGCGGUUGACAUGCCAUGCCACACACACAUACCCUGGUCACAUGGCCUGCUGUUCUGACAGACAGUCUCGAAAUCUGGAUCCUGUACAACGUUGAUCGAUCUCCAAUCAUACAGAGCUUGGUGGUGGAUCUCCAAAUCGUGGUGGUUAUUGUUGUAUGUCAUUAUUCAGUUGAUUGCGUGCAAAAUGUAUGGACAUGUAGUGUGUAUGAUUGUGUCCGGUUUGGGAGAGUUAUGAUAGAAUAGAGUAGCAUCAUGUGCUCUGUUUGCAAGUUUAUCGUGGAACAAAAGUUGAUCGUGGCAUUGGCAAAUCCUAAAAGGCCCGGGCUAGAUUAGUGCACCGGUCCGGGAUUUGACCUGACAUGCAAUCCGAACACGAUGCUGCAUUUUGAAGAAUCUUGCUAACACGUUUCACUGGUGCUGCCGUCGCCGCGAUGCAUCUGACAUGACUGCUGCCUGCUGCACGCCACUCAUAAGCAGGAGCGUAGCCAGGAUUAUUAACCAUUGGGUUCAGCUCUACUAAAAAGUGGAAUCAGUUCCUUGCUUAGUCUUAAGUUAGAGCCUGUUUGGGACUGCUCUGCUCCUUAAAAUUCAGCUCUGCUCCAGAAAAGAUAAUCCAAACGUGGUAGCUCCACGAUAUGCUGUUCCGCAAAAAAACUAGAAUCUGAGGUACAACUUUAGAGUUUUUAUGAAGCUCGUAAGAGGGUGCUCCAAAAAACUCUAGAAGCUGGAGUUGGGGGGAAAUUACGUUGAAACUAAUCAAAUAAGUGAUGAUCCUUUCCACCAGUAAGUGGAUACCCCCUUCAUUUCUUUUCCCUCAACCAAUCAAAUAGAUCCUUUCCAUCAAAUUUUCUAUUUUUUGAAGCUGGAGCUAAAUGAAAGCCAAACAUUCUCUUGAUACUGCUAUAGAUUCUGUAUGAAACUGCUCGGAAAUGAAUUUGAUGAAGUGAAGCAGUCCCAAACAGGCCCUUAGUGUAAAUCUAUAAGGAACGUGUCAAAUUUCAUUGGGUUUACUUGAACCCAAUGCUAAUGGGCUGGCUCCGCCCCAGCUGGUACGUGAGACCGCACGCCGGUGAUGUCGCUGCUGCGUCGCGGCUACCGUGGAUUACUUUCGAUGGCUGCAGCGCAACCCUCGCCAUUUGAUUCGGAGCUACCGGUGUUGCGGCUCGAUGGUCGUGGGUGCCACCAGUCCUGCGAUGCAACACUCCUCGUCGGUGCCGGUGUUGGGACAAGGCACUCGUAGACGUUGUCGGCAGCUGCUAUGCAGCAAUUCCAGAUCAUCACUCAUCAUGUCUUAGCCAAAUAAAUUGUCCGGUCCCCAAGUCCAACACCCUGCGCCCGAGGGAAACUGAAUUUAUGUUGCAAACUCUGAACUUAGAACUAGUGUUUAGUGCAGAGAAGCAGUAUUGCAGGUCAAAAGAACACGACAGGGACAUGCCAGUCAGCCAGUGCACACCACUGCCAAGUCAAUUUCCAGCAAAAUUUUAUCAGCGCAUCUGGAAAAAAAAUCUACACCUGUCACUGAUUGCCCGCGCAGUUGUGGCGGCACUGAACUAGUGAACUUCUCCAGGUUGCGUGGCAGGCAGAUCUCGGAAUAACUGCAGCCCGGGUGACUGUGUAGUGACUCGAUUGUGCCCUGGUCAGCGGGCAAGAAAGGCCGACCUUCCUUCCAAAAUGUCAGAGUCCAUCCGUGCGUCCGCGCGCUCGACUGAGUCCGGCGUCCGACGAUGCUCGGCACGGCCAUGUUGCAAUCGAGUCAUGUGUAUUUGGUAGUCUAGAAUUGGUAAUCGGUCUUUUAUUUUAUCUCUAAGAGAGGAUUCUUGUCCUUCAAGUCUAUACUCCUAUAUACAUACUCAAUACAAAAUUCAUCACAUUCCGCAUCAAUAUCCCUCUCCCCCUUCUAACAAUUCUGACAAGUUCGCUGUUCAACGCUUAUACUGUAUGUUCAUACAAAAACAGUUGAUUUUUUAGCAGAGAAAUACCAUUGAUUAAUUUGAGUUUUUCUCAAAGUUUUGUCAGCAUUCCGUUCCUUCAUGUAAAAAGGGCAUUGAUAUUUUUUGUUCGUUGAGAAAAAGGAGCGUCUCAGGGCGCAGACACUGUAUUUGAUUGAGCGAUCAGAGCCAACUGACAGUUACAGACAUGGCGCCCAUCCAGACAACAAGAAGCGGGCAAGUUGUGCGCGCCCAGCGUUCUCCCAAACAUAAUCUUGUUGCGCAAGUUCAGGGGUUGGCGAGGAAUGCAACCGCUAGGCCGUCCAUUGCGCCAACGGUAAAUUUCACGGAUACAAAAACAACAGCAGAAGUAUCACGAGCAUGUAGAAGGAAAAAGGUUCAGUCGGCCUCAUUUCAUCACUGUGAUCAUGAAAUGCUGCAGAAUUCUUGUCGGAAUCGGGGUUUCUCCCCUGCUAAAAGUUGCUGGCCUGAUCCGGCUGGGUGCCGCCCGCGUGACGGGAGCAAGCGACGGCGAGAAGCCACUGGUCUCUCGCCGAGCUUAUCCAGAACCAAAUCAGGGGCGAGACGCAUCCACACUCCAGAUACAGAAACAGGUGCAGGAAGUUGUUGCANNNNNNNNNNNNNNNNNNNNNNNNNNNNNNNNNNNNNNNNNNNNNNNNNNNNNNNNNNNNNNNNNNNNNNNNNNNNNNNNNNNNNNNNNNNNNNNNNNNNNNNNNNNNNNNNNNNNNNNNNNNNNNNNNNNNNNNNNNNNNNNNNNNNNNNNNNNNNNNNNNNNNNNNNNNNNNNNNNNNNNNNNNNNNNNNNNNNNNNNNNNNNNNNNNNNNNNNNNNNNNNNNNNNNNNNNNNNNNNNNNNNNNNNNNNNNNNNNNNNNNNNNNNNNNNNNNNNNNNNNNNNNNNNNNNNNNNNNNNNNNNNNNNNNNNNNNNNNNNNNNNNNNNNNNNNNNNNNNNNNNNNNNNNNNNNNNNNNNNNNNNNNNNNNNNNNNNNNNNNNNNNNNNNNNNNNNNNNNNNNNNNNNNNNNNNNUGGAUAGAUCAGAUGCAUGUACGUGUCUCCAAUUUAUCACUCAUGAUCAUCCAUAUCCAAAACCAAAGGGAGUUGUACAACGGAGCAGAGAUACGAGCUAGCUACCAAAUUGGCCGGGCCGGAACCGAGAAUUGGGCACGGGAAUUUUCUUUCCUAUCUAUUUUAUCUUGCUAUUGCUAUGGCAUGUCGACGUUGGUUUGUUUGUCUACUGGUGGUUGUCGCCGGCGCGGUCACCGGCCAUGGACAUGGCGGAGAGCCGGCUCGGCCGCGAGCGGGACCUGCCCACACGCCUCCGCUGCUGCGCCGCGGGGGACGGCGCCAGCGCCCUGCGUGCCCAGUGCCCGCUCUCCAUGGGGACAAGCCGCACCAGCGCGCCGCCAUGAUGCUUCGUGCAGCCGCUGCCGAUGGAAGGCGGCGAGCCGGGCUUGCUGUUGCCGGUCGGAUCUGCCUGCUUGCGUUCCUUGUGGAGGCUGCAGCGGAAUGAACCCGGGUGGUUCGUGGGGGAGCACAUGCAGGACCGACGGCUCUUGCCGGCAGGGGACGAGGAGGAAGAAGACGAGACGCUGACGGACUUGGCCGGGGAGCGGGUGGCGCCACCGGCGGUGAGGUUGACGCGGGCGGGCGAGGUGGAGCGGUAGCCGGGAAUCAAUAGGACCGGCCCGCUGGGCCUACUCGCAGUCGCCGUCGCCGUCGCCAUGAGAGAAUGGAUCGAGGUGUGCAAGCUUUGGAAUGGAGGUUUUGCUGCUGGUUUGGGGGAGUUCGAGUGGAGUAAACUAAAGGUUGGGCGCACUUUAUAGAGUUGGAGGGGUAUUCUGUGGUUCGGGCAUAAAGCAGUGGGCGACUGAGCAGUGGGCCUAGACGGCAGCACACUGAACUUGGUCCUGGGUUCAAGGCAGGUAGGUCCAGCCCCCAAUAUCAUAGGACUCAUGCUAACUCUUUUGAAAUAUCUUUUACUUUGAAUCUUACAGAAGCAUAAGCAUCGAUGGAACUGUGCGUAACCCAGGUGCCGCCCAUCGAUUGUGGCACCCAUCCUAUGUUGCUAUCGGUAAACCGUUUCCGGCACAUUGAAAGCACGGUGCCAAGAAAAAAUAAAUACUUCCUUCGUUCCUAAAUAAAAGUCUUUCUAUAUAUUCUACUAAAAAACUACAUACGGAUGUAUAUAGAUGUAUUUUAGAGUGCAGAUUCAUUCAUUUUGCUUCGUAUGUAGUCAUCUAGUGAAAUUUUUUAAAAUCCUUAUAUUUAGGAACGGAGUAUCUUCGAACGUUCAGAUCCGCGAUGGUCAGGAUGGCACGACUAGGACCUCAUCGACGUGACCCGGCAGCAGCCGGCAGCCGCCGGCCGUGGGAUCGCCUCCUCCGCUUUGCUUGAAACGCGGCCGACCUCUGAACGUUCGACACAGUGGCAUCGGCGGCACCUUAAUCACCGUAAUGGCAGUGUCCAUCAGCACCGAGCCUGUUUACUCGCGCCGCAUGUUUGUUCGUGGAGUCCGCGCAAAGGAAGGGAUCGUGGAGCCCUCCGGCGAUGUGCACGUGAAUGAUCGCAUGCACGAGCGCGUCGUGAUCCGGCCGGUUCCGCCGUGAUAAGAUGCUCCCAUCACUGUUAUCUUGCAGUACUACUCUGCCUCUGGCUUCCGUCGAUUCCGGCCGACCCGACGAGACGGUCGAACAUGGCCGUCUCUUUCGCCGCAGCUCCGGGAGCGGCUUUCGUCCCCUCUUGUUCUUCGUUUGUUGUACUGUUAACGGCCCGGCGCCGAAAAAUCAUGAUAAAAAAGCCGUCGUCGGUAUUUGCAUCAAAGGUAGAUCUUGUCACUGUCCAGCUAACUGCCGCAACACACAGCAAAGCCCAGCAAGGACGGGCGAACGGGGACAGGACCCAAGCUAGCGAAAACACCACACGAGCAACGGCUAUGGUGGUACUAGUCAGGGGUGACGACGGCGGCCGGCGGGGCAGCUGGCAGCGCACCGGAGGCUACUAGGGUUCAAUUUUGUUUUCGUUUCUGGCAACACCUUGCCAAUCGUGUGGAUUUGGGACAGCUAAUCGUUGUUGAGCUCUGUUCGUACUGUCGCUGAUCUACAUACAAAUUGCUGCAUUUGUCUCCUAUACUCGCAUGAUAGCACCAACAACUUUUUUCUUAUAGAAAGCAUGUAAUUGUGGAGCUCGUGCUUAUAUUUGCAGAUCCUUCGAUGGGUUGAUUCCGCGCAUAUAUAUAUACGAUUGUGUCCGAUUUUGGAGAAGGAAUAAUAGAUACGGCGUGCUAGUGCAGUAUCGUGUGCCAAAUAUAUUCUUUAUCUCCUUGAUUGAUAGGAGCGGAAUAGAUUUAAAAAAACUAAAAGGGACGAGCUAGAUUAUGGCAAUGGGUCUGGCCGUCAGGGAUCGAUUCGACAUGAAAUAAAAUGCAAUCCGAACAAUAUGGGUGGAAUGCAUUUCGGUGAUGCCAAUCUUAUUGAUACGUUUCGGAAGACAAAUAUCUUGCUAGUCUUUUAGGUCCAAAGCAUGCACCGCACGUGUCAAAUUGGGCUAACCUGGCCCAACCAAAUCUUGAUGUAGCGUGAUCUCGUGAGACGCGCGCAUACAAUCACAGGUGAUGCUAGCAAGACCAUACGUCUGUAUAUAACUGUUGGACCGUAAUCAGUACUUCAUUCGUCAUAGUUUAGAAGACAUGCUUGAAAAUCUCUGAAACCUAGAUGGUUAUUGAUUGACUGUGAGAUAAAUUAAAAAAUAACAUUCACACCAUACAUGCAUACAAAAAUAGUACGACGAAGUACUAAUUAGCUGCUAGGAGUAAAUGUAAUGCGCCUUAAACCUUGUCUGUUGUGGAAAAUCACGUAAAUUUAACGGUGUCUUUUAACCGUGACGAAGGUAGUAUUAGGUUUGGCAACGACGUGGGCAGUGCAGCGACGCCACCGGCCAGAGGGGGACUCUAUGUACGUAUACGUGUGGCACGGGACUGAAAUGUUCCACAGCUGCGAGGUCACUCGUUGAUCGUGUACGAGUGUUGGUCGGUUGGCCGUUGCAUUACCCCGGAUCCGGGCAAUAGCCACACGGAGCAAUACGUGUCGGAACGAACACGUGUCGGAACGACAUGGUACAUAAUAAAAGAAGAGAGAGAAUGAAACCGUAUGAACUUGUAGCAACGGUUCAUGCACAAGCUCCGAGGCAAACAUGGUUAUUUCUUCAACAUUUAAUGGACACAUUUAGUUAUUUUAUAUACGGUUAACAUACACUCUAUUGAAGAGCUUGUAUGCUGUGAUGUUGGUGUAUGAUGUGGACACUUAUACCAAUGAUUGAACAUACGGACUGUUGAAGAUGCUCUCAAUCUGCUAGCUCUGCCUACACAUGACGAGAAAGAUGAGUCGUCUGUUAAAACUCUUGAAUCAAUCUGAAAUGAUGGACAUUAGAUCUCACCGUCGCACCAUUCAAAUAUGCAUUCCACGCAUGUUUCCACGCCGACGACAAGAUGUGGCUAUAGAUGGCACAGGACUGACCACUGAUCGGCAUGGAGCCAUGGACUGACCCAAAUACUAGACACGUUCACCCACAUGUACCGAGCUGUAAUAUACAGUACUACUUAUUUCGUUCCUAAAUAUAAAUCUUAUUACUGAUUGGAUAGUAAAUAAAAUAAAUUAAUUUAAAACUCUAAAAUAUAUCUACAUACAUUUAUAUGUAACCCAUAGUGAUAUCUUUAAAGAGUUAUACUUAUGAAUGAAGGUAGUAUAAUAUAGUGUUUGAAAGCUUGUACCGGGACGAGCUAAGUAAAUGUUGUUCUAUUUUUUUUCAUGUUCAACAAUGAAAGCGACGUUGAUAUCCAAUCGGUUCCCAUCUAGCUCUCCCUUUCGUGUCGACGUAUGUUGGGACAUCAAUUAGAUUUAUUUUAGCAAAAUAUCUACUCCCUCCGUUCCUAAAUAUAAGUCUUUGUAGAGAUUUCACUAGUGAACUACAUACAAAUGUAAAUAUAUAUACUUUAGAGUAUAGAUUCAAUCAUUUUGCUCCGUAUGUAGACCUUUAGUGAAAUCGCUUAAAAGACUUAUAUUUAGAAACGGAGGGAGUAGAUUUUUAAUUCAGAGCGACGACAACAUGGAUGCCCGAUGCAACAAAGAGCGGUGAGGUGCGAUGAAAUUAGGCAUGUAGAUCCGCUGAGCAAGUAGGUUGGAGACAGAAAAAAAAAUAAUAUCGACCGGUCGACAUGUAAACUAGGAUAAAAAAAUGGGCACGUUAAAGGCACAUCUAGAUAUGACAUAGUUAUUACACAUGUAAAUGAUUAAAUUAAAAAAUAUCUACAUAAAUUUUCACGUAACAUCAAUGAUAUAAAACUUAGAUGUACAAUAUUUAUGUCACAUCUAAAUAUAUUUUAACGAAAAACAUAAAAAAAAUCACAUGCGUCCAUUAACUAUGAUCAGCCACACUAAAUCAUUUGAGUACUGAAUUUCUGACGGAAAACAAUUUGAUUGGAAACAAUUUGAUCGGAAACAAAUUUCCCUGGAUCCAGAAGCACAAAGCCUGAAGUUGGGACCACGACUCAAUCUGUUUGCAUUGCCAAGCCUACAGGUUAGUCAUGACUUACAGGUCAUUAUCCCUAGGCUCUGUCUAAUUGUUCACUCCUCAAGUCCGAGACCUGCGUCCGAGGGAAACGGACUUUGUGUCAUAUAUACUCUGAACUAGAAAGAGUGCAGAGCCGGUAGUAGAGUAUUUUUACAGGUCAAGCUGAAAACGAUGGGGACAUGCCAGGGCACACCACAAAGAAGUCAAUUUCCAACCCCCAGUCUCCCAACAAGAUCUUAUCAGCCCCGGCAAAAAAAAAGAAGAUCUUAUCAGAGCAUCUGCAAGAACCAUCAAUAAUUCACCACGAACCGGAUUUUUCUGCCAGCCUUGUGCGUUGUGAUUUUUUGGAGGACGGGAUCCUUGGAGCCCUUUUUUCAAAAUCUUCAAAAAAGACAUUUUUGGAUUUCAAAAUAGAAACUCCCGUGAAAAUUUAUACAUAUUCUUGACGCAUUUGGAAAUUUUCGUUCAAAAAUAUUAUGAUUUUCAAGCUUUGCAAAAAAAAGAAAAACCAGGCCCUAACAAAAAAAAUGCUGGCCCAUUUUUAUUUGUGUAUUUUUUAUCUAUGCCAUUUAUGAAAGUUCUCCCUCCGUCUCAAAAUAAGUGUCUCAACUUUAUACUAGCUCUAAUACAAAAUUCUACUAAGUUUGAAACACUUAUUUUGAAACGAUGGGAGUAUUUGAUAAUGAAACCUUUUUUGGACGUGUUAAACAUAUAUUUAUGUGUGUAUAAUUUUUUCAAAUUUUUUACGUUAUGGAGAUACGUUAUCUAAACAAUAAGCUUACUCGAGCCCGGCCUUCAUCGGUCAUUUGCGUGCAGCGUACGUUUAUAUAUGGCGCCUCUCCAUCCAUAAAACAUACUCCUUCCGUUCCAUAAUAUAAAUCUUUUAAAGAUUUUAUUAGAAGACUACAUACGGAUGUAUAUAGACAUGUUUUAGAGUGUAGAUUCACUCAUUUUGCUCUGUAUGUAGUCUCCUAGUGAAAUCGCUUAAAAGACUUAUAUUUAGGCACGGAGGGAGUAUAUAGGAUAAAUGUUUUCUACCAUCCUGUAAUAGUUACCCUCAUGUCAGUUCUUGUAUGUUAUACUCUCUCCGUCCCAAAAUUCUUGUCUUAAGUUUAUGUAGAUAUAAAUGUAUUUUGUCACGUUCUAGUAUCUAAAUACAUUCAUUUCUAAACAAACAUAAAACAAGAUUUUAAGACGGAGGAAGUAUAUAGUAUCUGUUAAAAUACAUUCUUGCCGUUCGGAAUUACUUAUCAUAAAGAUAAAUAUAAAUAAAUGUAUUUAAGACUAAAAUAUAUUUAUAUACAUUCAUUUCUAUGACAAGUAUUUUGGAUGAAGAAAAUAUUAGAAUGUAAGAAUAAUUUCCGCACGGAGCUGCCCGCUUUCGGUCGGCACAUUGCCAUCCGGCUUGCCUGGACCUUACUAGUAACUCGGCGCACUUUUUCCCACCGGCUUCUUAUCAUCGGUCGCGCUCCCGUCCUACAUUCCGAGACGCCGGAAAAAACGCACUCUUGUAAGCAGCCAUGGAUUGCCUGCAGUUGAGGCGGCACUGAACUUGUCCAUGUUAAUAUGUUAUAACCCGAGUGACUGUGCACUGCUGACUCGAUCAUGCCCUGGUGCACCGGUUAGUCGUGUCGUGCGGAGGCAGGUGAGGCCGACCUUCCUUCCUUGGGGAGCGCCAAGUCCAUUUGUGCGUCCGCGCGCGCGACCGGGUCCAGUCUCCGACGGUGCUCGGCGCCGGCAUAUACGUCGCGAUCGACUUAUUUCGACGGUCAUGCGUUCUACGGACCUGCUCGGGACGACGCUGACGUUCCAGAGCUUCUUCUUCUUCUUCUGGUUAGCUGGUGCCGGUUUGACAUUGGACGAGUUUGCCGUGGAAGCAGUACGUACCAACUUGAUUGUCAAAUAUUCAACGAGUUCGUUAUUUAAACUACGCAAUGUACUAGUAGUACUAUAUUCAACUCUGAGCAACUCCACUUGGUUUUCGCCUGUCCGCCGUUCGACGCAUCUAGAGUGUACGUGCGUGUACAUACUUACUCCUACAUAAAUUGCUGAAUGCCACUCAUACCAACUCUCGUAUCGUGUAAGCAUCUCCAAUAAAUGGACCAUAUAUAAAAAUAACAAACUUUUACAGCUUGAGAGCAAAAAACGCUGCUUCAAUACAGAUACAUCUGAUGUAAAAACCGCGGUCUUUCGCGAAACCACCAACCCCCUUCAUUUUAUUUCCCCACCCGCCCGUCUUCCGCCGCCAUGCCCAAGGCCGACGACCCCGUCACCUUCUCCGCCACCGCCACAACCGAAGGGCUGACCCACGUCGUCGCCGCCGCCGACGCAGCAGUGAACUCGCCCUCCGCGACCACAUCCAUACUCGCGCCCCCCGCCCGUCGAGCCGGAUUCACGCCGCCCGACCAGUCACCACCGCCCCGACGGCAAAGGCACGAGGCAAAGGCAAAUGGCCGGUGAAUCUCACCAGCCGAAAAUGUGGCUCGGACGGCCAAAAUCACGAGCCGAAAAUGCAGCCGCGACAGCUCGGGCAUGGGAGCUUGAACAGCAGCCGGGCAACCGACGUAUGGUUUUGAAUAGUCUGUUGGAGUUGUUGUUUUACAUCUCCGUUUUGAACCAUCUGUUUGAGUUAAACCUUUUUUUAAGUUGUAAAAAGUUUUAUUGAUGCUUCAAAUUUUUACAUCAGAGAUUUGGAACAUCAAAAUAUACAUCAUAUAUUAGUGAUGCUAUGAGUGUAUUAUUAUAUUUAGAAAAACAGAGAGGAGCUCCCCGACUCUGUAUGCAUGUUCAUUAUUCCCUUGGCUGGUCUGAAACAUUGCAUUGCAUUGCAUUGCAUUGGUAUUUUUCGUUCGAUAAGAAAAGUGCACUGUAGUUGAUGGAGAGACGAGAGCCAACUGACGUACAUGGCGCCAACCCAACGCAACUGAUUUCUGGCGAAGAAACGGAACUGAUAGCAAAGAGCCAGCUGUGUGUGUCUGUGUGCGCCCACCGUUCUCCCAUCAUCAUCUUCUUCCUGCGCAAGCUCAAAGAGUUGGCGGGGGAAUCCCAACCGCUUUGCCGUCGCUUGCGCAAGUGGCUGGGCCGAUCCAGCCGGCUGGGGGCACGCUCGGGUGCCGACCGUGUGACGGGAGGAAGCGACGGAGAGACGCCAUUCAUCUCUUGCGGAGCUUAUCCGAAGCCGAAACAGAGGCGAGAGAUCGAUGCAUCCACACUCCAGAAACAGAAACAGAGGCAGAAAGUUGUUGGGCAAACGGACCAUCGUCUCAAGGAUGGAUAAGGCUCCCGUCACGGGGCAGAGCAGAUGCAUGUACCAUGUGUCUCCAAUUUGUCACUCAUGUAUAUCCAUAUUAUCCAAAACGAUACUCCCGGCGUAUACAGAGUAGAGAGGAGAUGAUGAGCUCACUCUAUGUGAUCGAAUUGGGUACUCUAAGACUCCAAUUUUCUGCCGCAAACGGAAGACCCCGGUGAAUUAUUUGGGGAGCUUCUUUCCUACCAUGCUAUGGCACACUACUUUUCUUAUGGCAUGUCGACGCUGUUUUUUCUACUGGUUGUCACCGGCGCGGUCGCCGGCCAUGGACACGGAGGAGAGCCGGCUCGGCCGGGGACGGAAGCCGAGAGCGCGUCUCCGCUGAAGGGACUGCCGCGCGGCGGGGGACGCCGCGAGCGCUCGGCGUGCCCAGUGCCCGCCCUCCAUGGGGACAAGCUGCGCCAGCGCGCCGCCCGGGCGCUUCGAGCAGCCGCUGCCGAAGGACGGCGGCGAACCAAGGGGCUUGCGGUUGACGGCUGUGGUGGCCUGCUUGCGCUCCUUGUGGAGGCCGCACCGGAACGACCCCCGGUGGUUGGUCGGGGAACACAUGCAGGACCGACGGGUCUUGCCGCCGGCAGGGGACGAGGAGGAAGGAGACGCGACGCUGACGGACUUGGCCGGCGAGCGGGUGGCGCCACCGGAGGCGAGCUUGACGCGGGUGGGCGACGCGGUGCUGUAGCUUGGGGUCGACAGGACCGGCCCGCCGGGCCGACUGGCAGCCGCCGUCGCCAUGAGAGAUCAGAUCAGAGACCGCGAGCAGGUGGUUGGCUGGUGGUUUGGGAGGCUUGAGAGAUGAGAGCAAACUGAGAAGCCAACGGGUUGGCCGGAAUUUAUNNNNNNNNNNNNNNNNNNNNNNNNNNNNNNNNNNNNNNNNNNNNNNNNNNNNNNNNNNNNNNNNNNNNNNNNNNNNNNNNNNNNNNNNNNNNNNNNNNNNNNNNNNNNNNNNNNNNNNNNNNNNNNNNNNNNNNNNNNNNGGAAUUUAUAGAGCCUGUCGGAGAGGAAGGAAAUGAAUCGGUGGGCGUCUGUUGCGUGGGCCCUGAAGAAAGCCCACCGGAAUCGGUCUUGGGUUCAGGACACGUAGGUCCCAUCUACCAAUAUUGUAGGCUCAUGCAUAGUACUCUACCAGCUUGCUUUGAAUAUCGAUUUCAGCGUCAGGGUUCUGGUCAAUUUCUUGCAUGGCAAACCAUACAUACUGACUGCUACUUGCAUCUCGCGAUUGUUCAUACGUAGUAGUACUAUACAAAUAUUAGUAUAAGAAUAAUUAAAUUAGCCGUAUUUCCGUGUGAACUGCCCUGAUUCGCAAGCUUCUGUUCAGAAAAAGUUUCUCUUACUUUUAGGAGCUGCCCUCAAAAGAAAAGAAAAAAGAUAUACUAUUAGGAGCACAUCGCGCAUGUGCCGAACUGCCGAUGCAUCCAGAGUUUCUCGUCCUCACGCCGCUCCCGUCCCCGCCCCCACCCCGACGCGCCGCUCCCGUCCCCGCCCNGCUGCCGCCAGAAACGCGAGGGAGGGGAGGUCCUGGCCAUGGUCGUCGUGGCCAUGGGAGCUGCUUCUGAGGCUGCUCCCUGGUUACCCUGUUUAAAUUUUUUGCACAUAUUCUAUUUUGUUUUGAUGUAAAUAUUAUCAGUGUUAAUUUAACAGUAUUAAAUCUGUGCUACAUUUAUAUAGAUGGAUGACAACAGCAAGACUCGAGAUACGCUGAUAGUGCAAGCUGCUGGUUUGGUUGCUGUUUUGUGUGCAUAUAUGGCCACUAUAACUACAAGGGCUAGAAUUAGAAAUUAUCGUGCUCCAGUCCGUUAUGUUAUGCUUGAGAGAGACAUAGCUAGGUUGUCCAAUCUACGUUUUAUCUAUGAUACCAAUGAUAUAAAUUGCCAUGACCUACUAAGGAUGAAUAGGGCCCCAUUUUAUAACUUGUGUGCCUUGUUCCGUGACCGAAAGUUGCUGGAAGACAGCAUUCAUACCUGGUAUUUUAAGGUAAUAUGUUACCAUUUAGAAUUUUAUGGACAUGCUGGAUAACCAAAUUUUACAAAAUAUACCUCACCUCUUUUCCUAGGAUUGUGUUGGUGCAAUUGAUGGCACCCAUGUGCUUGCCAAGGUACCCGCUGCUAUUGCUUCGGCAUUUAGGGGUAGGAAAGGUGGCACCACCAAAAAUGUCACUAUUUUAAUUCCAUUUUAAUUCUUUUNNNNNNNNNNNNNNNNNNNNNNNNNNNNNNNNNNNNNNNNNNNNNNNNNNNNNNNNNNNNNNNNNNNNNNNNNNNNNNNNNNNNNNNNNNNNNNNNNNNNNNNNNNNNNNNNNNNNNNNNNNNNNNNNNNNNUCCAUUUUAAUUCUUUUAUGUUUCAGCUCCAUUUUAAUUCUUUUAUGUCACUAUUUCAGCUCCAUUUUAAUUCUUUUAUGUCACUAUUUCAGCUCCAUUUUAAAUCUUUUAUGUCACUAUUUCAGCUCCAUUUUAAUCAGAUUCCUUUGUUUGCUUUGUACAUAGGAGUGAUGGCUGAGAUGGGGGCUGAUGGUGGGCAUGGUGAUGGGAAUCACCCAUUGCGUUGGACAUCUCCAAUGUCUGGUUUCAUGUUACGUCGAUUUGUAGAGCUCAUUGCUAGUGGAGUGAAGACUGACAAAGGCUUUAAGGAGGUGCACUUAAACCAGGUGGCUAAGAAUUGUAGUGACCACUUUGGUCUUGCAAUAACCGGGACCCAAGUCUACAACCACCUCCGCAAGUGGCGUGCUAGGUGGGUGAAGAUUAGUAAGCUCCGAGACAUUAGUGGGUCACUUUGGGAUGAUACUAACUGUGUCAUAUCACUGGAGGAAGAGCACUAUCUGGGCCAUAUCAAGGUUUGUACUUUGAACUGACCUAUAAUUAUUUCCUUUCACAUGCUUCCUAUUUGUCAGUAUAUAACAUUUCCAUAACCACACUACAUAUAGGACCAUCCCAAAGAUGUUGAGUACCUCAAUGUGCCUUUAGAGAACUAUGUUCAAAUGCUUGCUAUCUUUGGGACUGGUAUUGCUACAGGGAGGUAUGCAAUGGCAUCUAAUGAGGCUCUUGGGGUUGCUUCAAUGGUGGGAACCUCCCCAUCGGUUGUCAACAUUGAAGGUUCUGGUUUUGAAUUUGUUGUUGAUGGGAAUGAACCUGACUCGAGUGCUACUGCUGCUGCUCAUGGGGAAGCUGCUGUUGCUCAUUCCACUGGUAAAAGGAAGAGGGUUAGCCUCAUGAGCGAAGAAGAAGUUUUGGUCAUGACCAACAUGUCUGAAGCAGUCCGUGAAGUUGCUAAUGCUAUCAAGUCCACUACAGAGGCACAUCCUGAACUUUAUGAUGCUGUGAUGGAGCUCCCUGGUUUUAGUGAGGAUGAUCUAUUGAUUAUCUUGGAUUAUCUCAAUGAGAGUGCCAACAGGGCUAGGAGCCACUCAUUCGUGCAGAUGACGGAGACUCGCCGCACUCGUUGGGUCAUUCACCACCUUUCCAAGCUCAAGGAUGAUGUGCCCAAGGGUGGAGUGUGAGCAAAUCUUUGCUGAUUAACUAGUUGACCAUAUUUUAUUCCAUUUGGUCAAAAAAACAAUGCCCCUAUAUAUAUGUGAUGUAUGGAAUGUAACUUGAAUCUUAUGUGAUGCUUAUGCGAUGUACUGGAUUAAUAUGGAUGUGUGGCCCUAUAAUAUGUGAACUUUUAAGAUGUAUUGGAUAUUGAUUUAUGUGUAUUGGAUAUUGAUUUAUGUGUAUUGGAUAUUGAUUGUAUCAUAAGCUGCUUCUAUACCGUACAAACAAACAAGAUGCUGCCAAUUUUUUAAAUUACUUCAAUCAUAUUCUUUCAUUAUUUCAAUCAUCAAAGAUAUUACCAAAACUAUCUUGUAAUUAUUUUAUAUCUGUUCGACAUCAUACAACCCACCAAACAAUAUCUGUUGUAUGUUGCAUCUCUCAUACAACCCAAGAUGCAAUAUACCAAACAAAAUCUGAGUUGAACCCAGCUCGUAUCAUGCACCCAACCAAACACACAUCUCAUUUUUAUUUUGCAUCAGGUCAACCAGGCUAGGACCACCCAAGCUCCUUCAUGCAAUGCAUCCUGGAUGCACCCAGGCAACCAAACACGCCCUAAACGUCCGACACAUGCAUGCAUGGCUGUGUGCAUCGGGGCCGAGAAUCCAUUUAUUCGCGCCCAUAUCAUGCAUGUAGGCGACGAAUGUCUUUGUGGAGUCGGCGCCAAGGAAGGGAUCGUGGAACCAAGCCGGCGAUGGUGGCCUCGCUUUCUUUCGGUCGGUUCCGCCGUGAUAACAUGCUCUCAUCUCAUCUGCAUCUGGGUUUCCUUCGAUUGUGGUCGACCGGGCGAUCGAUCGGACGUGGGUGUCUCUUUCGUUUGGUACUGUUGGAUGCGUAUGUUUUCCGUCUAUAUCUAUAUCUAUACCUUUAUAUACCUACUAAAGAAGCUAUUACUUUUAUCCUUAAGUAAAAGAAUGCGUACUUCCGAAGUUGAUACAAAUUAUGCACUAUGCCAUCCUUAAGUAAAAGAAUGUUUCAAAAAAAAAAUCCAAAAUCACCGCGUGCUUUGUUAUUGUAUAAAGGAACAAUACUAAUCUAGAACAGAAACGCACGACUAACGCACGACUAACGUAGGCACAAUUUUUCCUUUUCAAUUUCUCAUGCAGCGUCCUCUUUCAUGAGCCGGGCCGGCCAAGUUGAGGGGCUGGACUCCUCUAUUGUUUUUCAUUUUUUGUUUUAUUUUUUUCUCAUUCUGUUAUCUUCCUUUUUAAAAUUAAUUCGGAAUUUCCAAAUUUCAAAAGUGGUGAGUUCUAAAAAAAUAUUUGAGAAAUUAUAAAAAAUGUAUGUGAAUUCAUUUUUUAGGAAAUCAUAAAAGAUUCAUGGAUUCAAACAAUAUUGGUUUAUUUGUACCCAAAAAAAAUAGAAAGUGUACCCAAAAAGUAAAAAAAAACAUUUUUUUUAAAUUUGUUCCCCAAUUUUUGAAAAAGUUGAGUGAUCCAUAAAAUGUUUGUUGAGUCAAAAAAUGCUCAUGAAUUUGAAAACUUUUCAUGCAUUUCAGAAAAUCGUCGUAAAUAAAACUAAAGUUCAUGAUUUUUUUGAGAAAAUCCAAAAUUUGAAAAAAAAUGUCGAUUUAAAAACUGCUCGUCGAUUCAAAGUCUUCUAAGUCUAGGAUUUGAUUAAAUUUUUGAAAGUCUUUAUAUGUAUAGACGUGGCAGUAGAUCGUGGUCAAUGAGAUUUGUUUUUGUAGUUUUAAAUAUUCUCUUAUUCAAAUCCUGUUCCGUCACUGGUCACCCUGCGCCCGAGGGAGGCAGACUUUGUGUUGCAGACUCUGAGUAGUAGUAGAACUAGUGCAGAGUCAGGGUAUUUUACAGGUCAACGUGGACUCUGCUGCUACGUGCAUUGCCUCCGGCCGGCGCAGGCCGUUUAGCUGCACUUAAUUUACCAAUUCGAUCUACUUUUCCCCCGGCUUAUUACUGCCGGUCGCGCUCGCUGGACCAACCAUGCUCGUAUCCGUCCGGAGCAAUGGGUUGCGUGCCUGCCCGGUCAGGUGUCACCGAACUUCUCCAGGUUCCGUGACUUGGGGAUAAUUCCAGAUAGAGGGCUUGUUUGGUUGGAGACUAAUUUUAUCAAGCCAAAGUGUAGCAAGCCAUAAAGUGUGGCUGAAAAAACGAACGUCAAACUUUGACAAAAGUUGACAAAAAAAUUAAUUUUAUAACAAAUGGACCAUAGCAAGAAUAAAGUAUGACAAGUUAAAGUGUGACAAAAACCAAACAUAUGCCAACUAAACUGUGACUGCUAAAUUUUGACUUGACAAAGUGUGGCUGGGAGCCAAACAGGCCCGGAGUGACUGUGCAGUGACUCGAUGAUCCUGGUGGCCUGGUGCUCGGGAAAGAGAGCCCUGAAGCGAGUGUCGUGUCAGCGGCAAGAGAGGCCGACCUUGACCUUCCAUCGGAAGCGCCAAGUCCGACCGAGUCCGGAAUCAGACGGUGCUCGGCGUGAUCAAUCAUCCGUUCCGUUGACUUGCUCGACCGCCGGUGACCUUGACGCUCCAGAGCUUCUUUUGGUUAGCGAAUGCGUGUCCAAUAUUAUCGAAAAAGGCCGUGCCCCAAUAUAAAUUAAAUACAAAGCAAACAUCAUACAAAUCAAGACAUAUCACAUGACACCACCACACACGUACACAAGGCUGGAUACAAGGGUGUUAAAGAACAACGACACAACCCCAAAACUCCAAGCACACUAUACGAGGAAGCAGCUUGGAGUCAUCGGAGCUCUCAACAGUGAUCAAGUCACCGCGAAGCCUUGCCGGUGCUUGUCGACGACGACGACCGUGGGCGUCACUUUUCUCCUUGGAGGCGUCGUCGUCUUCAUGUGCAUCAUCCACUUUUGGAUCAAGCUCUUCACGCGAAAGCCUAGAUUGGCCUGGGCUGGGCAACGAUGUCGUCCCUGCAAUGUGCGUGUACAUUGCCUCCGGCUCAUGGCGUUUACCGGCGGUUUACUGAUUCUGAACUUUUUCUCCCGGGCCGGCAUAUCGGUCGCCCUCGCGUCCUACCUGGACACUGAAAAAUCGCAAUACUACCCACCGAUUCCCUACUCGAUCAGGUGGCACUGAACUUCUCCAGGUUCCGUGGCAGGCAGAUCUUCCAGCCCGGGUGACUCUGCACUGACUCGAUCAUGCCCUGCUGCGCCGGCAACAGAGUUUCUUCUGCUCGCGUCCGUGGCACCUGUGCGUCCGCGCGCGCGACCGAGUCCGGCGAACUAAAGUGCUCGCCGCGGGCAUGUUGGCGACGCCGACGUUUCAGAUUUUUUGGCUCGCAAAUGGAUAUUUGACGAGCUUGACAGGACGUACUACCAACUCGUCAGAUAUCCAGCUAAAAAAAAAGUUGUCAGAUAUUCAAACAGUACUGUAGUCCACCAUGAGCGAGACAGCGACCCCACUUGCUUAUUUUUCGCUUUGCAGCAACUACAUGCCCAACGCGGCCAGUGUACGUACACAGACAGCGGUUCUCAACGGAAGAUGAUAGUGGAGUAGUAAUGAUCUUUUUCAUCUGCGCCCGUACAAUGUAUGAUCGGUAUUCAGAUCGUUAAGCAAAAGAAACACCGUAUUUGAUAGGGAGAUGAGAGCUGACUGAUAAGUGUUGGUGUGGCGAGCAACCCAUUUCCGGCGAAGGAACAUAACUCAUUAAACAAGAAGCUGGCCUGUUGUGCGAGCCCACUAUCAUCUUGUUGCCCAAGUUCAGGAGUUUUUUUUUUAAAGAAGGAACGAAGCCUCGGUCACUACAUUAAUUGUUGCAUGCAACAAUAUUAUUAAAACAAGUAUAGACAUAACGUCUUCCGUCCACGAAGUACUCACAAUCUGAGCUUAACAAAAGCAAGUACGUGAAAUAAAAUUGCUACAUCUGUCGAGACCAAAAUUAAGCUACGAUACCUAUAUACCUAGCCUACUAUUAGCUAGGCAUCCAAAUCGGUUGAAGAUAGCUUAUACGACCGUCCCCCGUCGGUUGCACCCAAUAACCAUAACAUUUCUGUAAUUCACAUGAAUGAGUAACGAUCACGUGCAGAUUCUAACCGUGACUCCAUAGUUAACGUGUAAAAAAUUGUUGAAGAUCUUGUCACUAAAAAAUAUAUCAUUUCUAGUGUUCCAUAUGGCUCAAAAUAAUGUACAUAUUCCAAUCCGGAUAUGAUUCGCUAUAGUGUCGUCUACUCUAUUAAGCCACGGUCCAGAUAACAUAUUAAUGCUUGUUGGUGUAUUUAUGUUGAAGGCAAUAUGGAUAGUGCGACAUAAUAAUUUCGUUAGUGAACAAUCAAGGAAAAGGUGUCUUAUUGUUGCAUUUUGUUCACAAUAGCAACGUAUAAAAAUGCCUAUCCAUCUCCGCUUUAUCAAAUUAUCAUUGGUUAAUACAAACCCUUGUCUAUAAACCACACGAAUAAUUUAAUUCAAAGGGCUUUUAAAGCUUUCAAAUAUGCAAUGAUCUCGAAAGAGGCCCAAAAUUAAUUAUAUUCAUGUAUACUGAUUACAUUGAAAAAGUAGUUAAUUUUCAAAUAGUAUCUGGCUGGUCAGAGAGGUGAAACACAACCUCCACUCCGUUGGUCGCGUCAAAUAUCACGAGUGGGAAGAAGAAAUAUCUCAGUUCAUUCAUCGAUUCGAUCAUGAGACUGAUACGUCUUCAACGUAUCUAUAAUUUUUGAUGGUUUCAUGCUAUUAUCUUAUCAAACUUUGGAUGUUUUGCAUGUCUUUUAUUUAUUUUUGGGAUUAACUUAUUAAUCCAGUGCCAAGUGUCAGAUCCUGUUUUCCUCAUGUUUUUGACCCCUUUCAGAAGAGAUUUUGAAACGGAGUCCAAACGGAAGAAAAUCCCCGAAAAGAUUUUUUCUGGAACGGAAGAAGAUCGGAGAGCUUGGGGGCCAAGCCAGAAGAGCCCCAGGGGCCCCACAAGCCCCCACCCCGCGGCUAGGGGGGAGCGCCAUGCAGGCUUGUGGGCCCCCUGGAGGUCCCUUGACCUAGAUCUUGCGACUAUAAAUUCUCAAAUAUUCCCCAACAAAUCAUCGGAGCAUCGUAAUCACUUUUCCGCCGCCGCAAGCUUCUGCCUCCGCAAGAUUCCAUCUAGGGCACAUCCUGGUGCCCUGCCAGAGAGGGGAUUCGGAGACGGAGGGCUUCUUCAUCAACACCAUGACCUCUCCGAUGAUGCGUAAUUAGUUCACCAUAGACCUACGGUCCAUAGCUAGUAACUAGAUGGCUUCUUCUCUCUCUUGGAUCUUCAAUACAAAGUUCUCCAUGAUCUUCAUGGAGAUAUAUCCGAUAUAAUCUUCUUUUGCGUGUGUUUGUCGAGAUCCGAUGAAUUGUGGAUUUAUGAUCAGAUUAUCUAUGAAUCUUAUUUGAGUUUCUUUUGAUCUCUCUUAUGCAUGAUUUCAUAUCCUUGUAAUUCUCUUCGAGUUGUGGGUUUUGUUUGGCCAACUAGAUCUAUGAUUCUUGCCAUGGGAGAAGUGCUUGGUUUUGGAUUCAUACCGUGCGGUGACCUCACCCAGUGACAGAAGGGUAGCGAGGCAUGUAUCGUGUUGUUGCCAUGAAGGGUAAAAGAUGGGGUUUUCAUCAUUGGUUUGAGAUUAUCCCUCUACAUCAUGUCAUCUUGCUUAAAUCGUUACUCUGUUUGUCAUGAACUCAAUACACUAGAUGCAUGCUGGAUAGCGAUCGAUGUGUGGAGUAAUUAUAGUAGAUGCAGAAAGUAUCGGUCUACUUGUCUCGGACAUGAUGCCUAUAUGUAUGAUCAUUGCCUUAGAUAUUGUCAUGACUUUGCGCGGUUCUAUCAAUUGCUCGAUAGUAAUUUGUUCACCCACCAUAAUACUUGCUAUUUUGAGAGAAGCCUCUAGUGAACAUUAUGGAACCAAGGGUCUACUCCACACCAUAUUUUCAGCCUUACAGUUUUUACUUUGUUGCACUUUCCGCCUUCAGAUCUCACUUUGCAAACAAUCUUGAAGGGAUUGACAACCCCUUUGAAGCGUUGGGUGCAACCUUGUUUGUGUUUGCGCAGGUACUCUGGACUUGACGAGACCCUCCUUCUGGACCGAUACCUUGGUUCUCAAACUGAGGGAAAUACUUACUGCUCCUGUGCUGCAUCACCCUUUCCUCUUCAAGGAAAAACCAACACAAGCCCAAUCUCCGUCAACGUGUCAAUUUCUGGCGCUGUUGUUUGAGAAGUAGCAGAGGCCAACUCCACACCGCGACCACAUCCUGUCCGACCCCGUUUGUUUGGGGUAAAAGGGACAAACCGGUCGGCCCAGCGCGAGACGGCCCCGACCCGUCUUGUUCGUUUUGUGUCCGGGGCGACCCAUUUCAAACGCAAACUUGCGCGGGAUUUGGGUCGCGGCGGACAGCAAGCGGACGCGCGCUUGUCCGCGUCAGGGAUGCGUGGCAGGCUGCCACCUACCUCCCACCCACCCACAUCAAUGCGCACGAGCGGCCGGGCCCGCGUGUCAUCCGCCUAGGAAACGGUCAUGGUCCUUCUUAAAUGGAAUAGUCGUGGACCGGUUAUCGUCCACACUUCCCAUCGCCACCCCGCGGCCUCCUCGAAACCCGACACCCAAACCCUAGCCUCCUUGAACUCGCCGGCCGACCACCUCGCAACCAUGGGGCUCUGGAACUACGGCCGCAUGGGGAAGCACGACCGCGAGGCUGGCUCCUCGUCGGGACGCCGCCGCGGCUCCGUGAAGGAAGAGGCCGCAUCGCCACCGCCCGGGGCCUCCGCGCCUGCUCCCUUCACCAUCGGCCCUAGGCCUGCCGGCCAGCGCGACCGGCGGUACCUCAGCUCUGAGGUAUGCUGGCGCUACUGGGAGACGAGGACGCCGGUCCCGUGCAGCAACAUCCACAUCCCUAACGCCUGGCACCUCUCCGCCGACCGGGUCCCGAUCCCGCCAGUGCCGACGAGCGGUUGUGCGCUCCGCGACGAGAUCGAGCGCCGCCGCCGCCUAUGUUGGAAAUAUGCCCUAGAGGCAAUAAUAAAAUGGUUAUUAUCAUAUUUCCUUGUUCAUGAUAAUCGUCUAUUGUUCAUGCUAUAAUUGUAUUAACAGGAAACAGUGAUACAUGUGUGAAUAAAUAGAUCACAAUGUGUCCCUAGCAAGCCUCUAGUUGGCUAGCUCGUUAGUCAAUAGAUGAUCAUGGUUUCCUGAUCAUGGGCAUUAGAUGUCAUUGAUAACGGGAUCACAUCAUUAGGAGAAUGAUGUGAUGGACAAGACCCAAUCCUAAGCAUAGCACUAGAUCGUAUUGUUCGUAUGCUAAAGCUUUUCUAAUGUCAAGUAUCUUUUCCUUCGACCGUGAGAUUGUGCAACUCCCGGAUACCGUAGGAGUGCUUUGGGUGUAUCAAACGUCAUAACGUAACUGGGUGACUAUAAAGGUGCACUACGGGUACCUCCAAAAGUGUCUGUUGGGUUGGUACGAAUCGAGAUCGGGAUUUGUCACUCCGUGUGACGAAGAGGUAUCUCUGGGCCCACUCGGUAGAACAUCAUCUUGAGCUCAAUGUGACUAAGGAGUUAGUCACACGAUGACAUGCUACGGAACAAGUAAAGAGACUUACCGAUAACGAGAUUGAACAAGGUAUAAGUAUACCGACGAUCGAAUGUCGGGCAAGUUCUAUACCGACAGACAAAGGGAAUCGUAUACGGGAUUGUUUGAAUCCUUGACAUCGUGGUUCAUCCGACGAGAUCAUCGUGGAGCAAGUGGGAGCCACCAUGGGUAUCCAGACCCCGCUGAUGGUUAUUGGCCAGAGAGGUGUCUCGGUCAUGUCUGCCUGUCUCCCGAACCCGUAGGGUCUACACACUUAAGGUUCGAUGACACUAGGGUUAUAGGGAUUUAUUAUACGAGGUUACCGAAAGUUGUUCGGAGUCCCGGAUGAGAUCCCGGACGUCACGAGGAGCUUCGGAAUGGUCCGGAGGUAAAGAUUGAUAUAUAGGACGGAUGGUUUUGGACACCGGAAGUGUUUCGGGCGUCACCGGUAAUGUACCGGGACCACCGGGACCACCGGAGGUGGCCCCGGGGGACCACCGAAGGGGGGCAACGACCCCGGGAGAUAAGGUGGGCCAAGUGAGGGUGGGAACCAGCCCCUAGAUGGGCUGGUGCGCCUCCCCACUCAGCCCAAUGCGCAGGGGAGAGAAAAGGGGGGGCAAACCCUAAGCCAGGUGGGCCUAAGGCCCACCAGUUGGUGCGCCACCCCCUCCUCCCCCUCUGGCCGCCGCACNNNNNNNNNNNNNNNNNNNNNNNNNNNNNNNNNNNNNNNNNNNNNNNNNNNNNNNNNNNNNNNNNNNNNNNNNNNNNNNNNNNNNNNNNNNNNNNNNNNNNNNNNNNNNNNNNNNNNNNNNNNNNNNNNNNNNNNNNNNCCCAUCUGGGGGGGGGGGCUGCCGCACCCCCUAGGGUGGGAAACCUAGGGGUGGCACCCCCUCUCCCCUCCCCCUAUAUAUAUCGGGCACUUUUGGCCAUUGAGACACACAAUUUUCCCUCUCUCUCGGCGCAGCCCCGCCCUUCUUCCUCCUCCUCUCUGCCGGUGCUUGGUGAAGCCCUGCCGGGAGACCUCGUCUCUCCACCGACACCACGCCGUCGUGCUGCUGGAGUUCUUCCCCAACCUCUCCCUCCUCCUUGCUGGAUCAAGGUGCGGGACACGUCACCGGGUUGCACGUGUGUUGAACGCGGAGGUGCCGUAGUUCGGCACUAGAUCGGAAUCGCUGCGAGUACGACUCCAUCAACCGCGUUCUAGCAACGUUUCCGCUUAGCGAUCUUCAAAGGUAUGAAUAUGCUCUUACCCCUCUCUCGUUGCUGGUCUCUCCAUAGGAAGAUCUGAAUAUGCGUAAGAAAAUUUUGAAUUUAUGCUACGUUACCCAACAGUGGCAUCCGAGCCAGAUUUUCUAUGCGUAGAUUCAAUGCACGAGUAGAACACAAAAGUUGUGGGCGAUGAUUUGUCAAUUUGCUUGCCGCUACUAGUCUUAUUCUUUUCCGGCGGUAUUGUGGGAUGAAGCGGCCCGGACCGACUUUACACGUACGCUUACGUGAGACUUGUUCCACCGACAGACAUGCACACCGUGCAUAAAUGUGGCUAGCGGGUGUCUGUCUCUCCUACUCUAGUCAGAUUGGAUUUGAUGAAAAGGGUCCUUAUGAAGGGUAACUAGCUUUGGCAUAUCAUCGUUGUGGAUGUCACGUAGGUAAGAAGGCGUUCUUGCUAGAAACCCAAAUCAACCACGUAAAACUUGCAACAACAAUUAGAGGACGUCUAACUUGUUUUUGCAGGGUUUGACAUGUGAUGUGAUAUGGCCAAAGUUGUGAUGUUGCAUGUAUGAUGUAUGAGAUGAUCAUGUUAUUUUAAUAGGUUUCACGACUUGCAUGUCGAUGAGUAUGAUAACCGGCAGGAGCCAUAGGAGUUGUCUUAAUUUAUUGUAUGAGAUGCAACGCCAUGUGCUUACUACUUUUACUUCAUUGCUAACGGUUAGCUAUAGUAGUAGUGAUAGUAGUAGUUGGCGUGACGACUUCACAGAGACACGAUGAUGGAGAUCAUGAUGAUGGAGAUCAUGGUGUCACGCCGGUGACGAUGAUGAUCAUGCGAUGCCUGAAGAUGGAGAUCGAAAGAGCAAAGAUGAUAAUGGCUAUAUCAUGUGACUAUAUGAUUGCAUUGUGAUGUUUAUCAUUUUUUUCAUCUUAUUGCUUAGAACGACGAUUGCAUAAUAAGAUGAUCCAUCUCAAAAUUUCGAGAACGUAUUCCCCUAAGUGUGCACCGUUGCGAAGGUUCGUUGUCUCGAAGCACCAGUGAUGAUCGGGUAUGAUAGAUUCUAACGUUCGCAUACAACGGGUGUAAGCCAGAUUUACACACGUGAAACACCUAGGUUGACUCGACGAGCUUAGCAUGUACAGACAUGACCUCGAAUACAAGAGACCGAAAGGUCGAACAUGAGUCGUAUGGUUGAAUACGAUCAGCAUGAAGUUGCUCACCAUGGUGACUAGUCCGUCUCACGUGAUGAUCGGACACGGGUUAGUCAACAUGGAUCAUGUAUCACUUAGAUGACUAAAGGGAUGUCGAUUUAAGUGGGAGUUCAUACUCAAGUUGAUUAAAUGAACUUAAUUGUCAUGAACUUAGUCUAAAAGUUGUCUUUAUAAAUAUUGUAGAUGUCCAACGUCAACCUCAAUUUCAACGCAUUCCUAGAGAAAAACAAGUUGAAAGAUGAUGGUAGCAACUAUGCGGACUGGGUUCGCAACUUGAAGCUCAUCCUUGAAGCAACUAAAAAGGCUUAUGUCCUUGAUGCGCCACUAGGUGACCCUCCCGCUCCCGCAGCAGCCCAGGACAUUCUGAACGUCUGGCAAACGCGGAGUGAUGACUACUCUCUGGUUAGGUGUGGCAUGUUAUACAGUUUAGAAACGGGGCUCCAAAGGCGUUUUGAGCAACACGGGGCAUCUGAGAUGUUCCAGGAGCUGAAGCUAGUUUUUCAAGCUCAUGCCCGUGUCGAGAGAUAUGAAGUCUCCGACAAGUUCUUUAGCUGUAAGAUGGAGGAGAACAGUUCUGUUAGUGAGCACAUACUCAAAAUGUCUGGGUUACACGGUCGUUUGACUUCGCUUGGAGUCGAACUUCCGGAUGAUGCUAUAAUUGACAGAAUCCUCCAAUCUCUCCCACCAAGCUACAAAGGCUUUGUGCUUAACUACAACAUUCAAGGGAUGGAGAAGACCAUUCCCGAGUUGUACUCGAUGCUCAAGUCUACAGAAGUAGAAAUCAAGAAAGAGCAUCAUGUGUUGAUGGUCAACAAGACCACUAGUUUCAAGAAAGGCAAGGGUAAGAAGAACUUCAAGAAAGACAGCAAAGCUGUUGCCGCGCCCGGUAAGCCAGAUGCCGGGAAGAAGAAAAAGAACGGACCCAAGCCUGAGACUGAGUGCUUCUAUUGCAAGGGAAAGGGUCACUGGAAGCGAAACUGCCCCAAAUACUUAGCGGACAAGAAGGCCGGCAACGUUAAAGGUAUAUGUGACAUACAUGUUAUUGAUGUGUACCUUACCAGCGCUCGUAGUAGCUCCUGGGUAUUUGAUACCGGUGUUGUUGCUCACAUUUGCAACUCAAAGCAGGAACUGCGGAAUAAGCGGAGACUGGCCAAGGACGAGGUGACGAUGCGCGUCGGGAAUGGUUCAAAGGUCGAUGUGAUCGCCGUCGGCACGCUACCUCUACGUCUACCAUCGGGAUUAGUUUUAAACCUUAAUAAUUGUUAUUUAGUACCAGCUUUAAGCAUGAACAUUGUAUGAGGGUCUUGCUUAAUGCGAGACGGCUACUCAUUUAAGUCAGAGAAUAAUGGUUGUUCUAUUUAUAUGAGUGAUAUGUUUUAUGGUCAUGCUCCGCUGGUGAAUGGUUUAUUCUUGAUGAAUCUCGAUCGUGAUGUUACACAUAUUCAUAGUGUGAGUACCAAAAGAUGUAAAGUUGAUAAUGAUAGUCCCACAUACUUGUGGCACUGCCGCCUUGGUCAUAUCGGCGUUAAGCGCAUGAAGAAGCUCCAUACUGAUGGACUAUUAGAGUCUCUUGACUUUGAAUCAUUUGACACAUGCGAACCGUGCCUCAUGGGUAAGAUGACUAAGACUCCAUUCUCUGGAAUAACGGAGAGAGCAACCGACUUAUUGGAAAUAGUACAUACUGAUGUGUGUGGUCCAAUGAACGUUGAAGCUCGCGGUGGUUAUCAUUAUGUUCUCACCCUCACCGAUGAUUUGAGUAGGUAUGGGUAUAUCUACUUGAUGAAGCACAAAUCUGAGACGUUUGAAAAGUUCAAGGAAUUUCAGAGUGAGGUUGAGAAUCAACGUGACAGAAAAAUUAAAUGUCUACGAUAUGAUCGUGGAGGAGAAUAUUUGAGUCACGAGUUUGGCACACACCUAAGGAAGUGUGGAAUCGUUUCACAACUAACGCCGCCUGGCACACCGCAACGCAACGGAGUGUCUGAACGUCGUAAUCGCACUUUAUUAGAUAUGGUACGAUCUAUGAUGUCUCUUACCGACUUACUGCUAUCAUUUUGGGGAUACGCAUUAGAAACUGCAGCAUUCACUUUAAAUAGGGCACCGUCUAAAUCCGUUGAGACGACACCGUAUGAACUAUGGUUUGGCAAGAAACCUACGUUGUCGUUUCUUAAAGUUUGGGGCUGCGAUGCUUAUGUGAAGAAACUUCAACCAGAAAAGCUCGAACCCAAAGCGAAGAAAUGCGUAUUCAUAGGAUACCCUAAGGAAACUAUUGGGUAUACCUUCUAUCUUAGAUUCGAAGGUAAAACCUUUGUUGCCAAGAACGGAUCCUUUCUAGAGAAAGAGUUUCUCUCGAAAGAAGUAAGUGGGAGGAAGGUAGAACUUGAUGAGGUAAUUACACCCCCUCUCGAACAGGAUAGUAGCACAGCGCGGGAAGUUGUUCCUGUGCCGCCUACACCAACUGUAGAGGAAGUUAAUGAUGAUGAUCAUGAAGCUUCGGAUCAAGUUACUACUGAACCACGAAGGUCCACAAGGGUACGCUCCGCACCAGAGUGGUACGGCAACCCUGUGAUGGAAAUCAUGUUGUUAGACAACGGUGAACCUUCGAACUAUGAAGAAGCGAUGGCGGGCCCGGAUUCCAACAAAUGGCUUGAGGCUAUGAAAUCCGAGAUAGGAUCCAUGUAUGAGAACAAAGUAUGGACUUUGGUGGACUUGCCCGAUGACCGGCGAGCCAUAGAAAAUAAAUGGAUCUUCAAGAAGAAGACUGAUGCAAACGGUAAUGUAACCGUUUACAAAGCUCGACUUGUCGCAAAGGGUUUUCGACAAAUUCAAGGAGUUGACUACGAAGAGACUUUCUCUCCCGUAGCGAAGCUGAAAUCAGUCCGAAUCAUGUUAGCAAUUGCCGCCUUUUAUGAUUAUGAAAUUUGACAAAUGGACGUCAAAACAGCGUUCCUUCACGGGAACCUUAAGGAAGAGUUGUAUAUGAUGCAACCAGAAGGUUUUGUCGACCCUAAGGGUGCUAACAAAGUGUGCAAGCUCCAGCGCUCCAUCUAUGGGCUGGUGCAAGCAUCUCGGAGUUGGAACAUUCGCUUUAAUGAGGUGAUUAAAGCGUUUGGGUUCAUACAGGUUUACGGAGAAGCCUGUCUGUACAAGAAAGUGAGUGGGAGCUCUGUAGCUUUCCUCAUACUGUAUGUGGAUGACAUAUUAUUGAUGGGGAAUGAUAUAGAGAUGUUGGAGAGCAUAAAGGCCUAUUUGAACAAGAGUUUUUCAAUGAAGGACCUUGGAGAAGCUGCAUACAUAUUAGGCAUCAAGAUCUAUAGAGAUAGAUCAAGACGCCUCAUAGGUCUUUCGCAAAGUACGUACCUUGACAAGAUAUUGAAUAAGUUCAAUAUGGAAAACUCAAAGAAAGGGUUCUUGCCAGUUUUGCAAGGUAUGAGAUUGAGUAAGACUCAGUCGCCGACCACGGCAGCAGAUAGAGAGAAGAUGAGUUCUGUCCCCUACGCUUCAGCCGUGGGCUCUCUAAUGUAUGACAUGCUGUGUACCAGACCUGAUAUAAACCUUGCCAUAAGUCUGGUAGGAAGGUACCAAAGUGAUCCAGGUAUGGAACACUGGAAAGCGGUCAAGAAUAUCCUUAAGUACCUGAAAAGGACUAAGGAAAUGUUUCUCGUUUAUGGAGGUGACGAAGAGCUCGUCGUAAAGGGUUACGUCGACGCUAGCUUCGACAGAAAUCCGGAUGACUCCAAGUCACAGACCGGAUACGUAUAUGUGUUGAAUGGUGGGGCAGUGAGCUGGUGCAGCAGCAAGCAAGAAGUCGUGGCAGCAUCUACAUGUGAAGCGGAGUACAUAGCUGCUUCAGAAGCGGCUCAUGAAGGAAUUUGGAUGAAGGAGCUCAUCACCGACCUUGGAGUGGUUCCAAGCGCGUCGGGUCCUAUGACACUCUUCUGUGACAACACUGUAGCCAUUGCCAUAGCCAAGGAGCCCAGGUUUCACCGGAAGACGAAGAACAUCAAACGCCGCUACAACUCCAUCCAGGACCAUGUCCAGAGUGGAGUGAUAGAUAUUUGUAAAGUACACACGGAUCUGAAUAUUGCAGACCUGUUGACUAAACCUCUUCCACGGGCAAAACAUGAUCAACACCAUAAUGCUAUGGCUGUUCGAUACAUCACAAUGUAACUAGAUUAUUGACUCUAGUGCAAGUGGGAGACUGUUGGAAAUAUGCCCUAGAGGCAAUAAUAAAAUGGUUAUUAUCAUAUUUCCUUGUUCAUGAUAAUCGUCUAUUUUUCAUGCUAUAAUUGUAUUAACUGGAAACAGUGAUACAUGUGUGAAUAAAUAGAUCACAAUGUGUCCCUAGCAAGCCUCUAGUUGGCUAGCUCGUUAGUCAAUAGAUGAUCAUGGUUUCCUGAUCAUGGGCAUUAGAUUUCAUUGAUAACAGGAUCACAUCAUUAGGAGAAUGAUGUGAUGGACAAGACCCAAUCCUAAGCAUAGCACUAGAUCGUAUUGUUCGUAUGUUAAAGCUUUUCUAAUGUCAAGUAUCUUUUCCUUCGACCGUGAGAUUGUGCAACUCCCGGAUACCGUAGGAGAGCUUUGGGUGUAUCAAACGUCACAACGUAACUGAGUGACUAUAAAGGUGCACUACGGGUACCUCCGAAAGUGUCUGUUGGGUUGGUACAAAUCGAGAUCGGGAUUUGUCACUCCGUGUGACGGAGAGGUAUCUCUGGGCCCACUCGGUAGAACAUCAUCUUGAGCUCAAUGUGACUAAGGAGUUAGUCACACGAUGACAUGCUACGGAACGAGUAAAGAGACUUACCGAUAAUGAGACUGAACAAGGUAUAGGUAUACGGACGAUCGAAUCUCGGGCAAGUUCUAUACCGACAGACAAAGGGAAUCGUAUACGGGAUUGUUUGAAUCCUUGACAUCGUGGUUCAUCCGAUGAGAUCAUCGUGGAGCAAGUGGGACCACCAUGGGUAUCCAGACCCCGCUGGUGGUUAUUGGCCAGAGAGGUGUCUCGGUCAUGUCUGCCUGUCUCCCGAACCCGUAGGGUCUACACACUUAAGGUUCGAUGACGCUAGGGUUAUAGGGAAUUAUUAUACGAGGUUACCGAAAGUUGUUCGGAGUCCCGGAUGAGAUCCCGGACAUCACGAGGAGCUCCGGAAUGGUCCGGAGGUAAAGAUUGAUAUAUAGGACGGAUGGUUUUGGACACCGGAAGUGUUUCGGGCGUCACCGGUAAUGUACCGGGACCACCGGGACCACCGAAGGGGGGCAACGACCCCGGGAGAUAAGGUUGGCCAAGUGGGGGUGGGAACCAGCCCCUGGUGCGCCUCCCCACUCAGCCCAAUGCGCAGGGGAGAGAAAAGGGGGGGGCAAACCCUAAGCCAGGUGGGCCUAAGGCCCACCAGUUGGUGCGCCACCCCCUCCUCUCCCUCUGGCCGCCGCACNNNNNNNNNNNNNNNNNNNNNNNNNNNNNNNNNNNNNNNNNNNNNNNNNNNNNNNNNNNNNNNNNNNNNNNNNNNNNNNNNNNNNNNNNNNNNNNNNNNNNNNNNNNNNNNNNNNNNNNNNNNNNNNNNNNCCCAUCUGGGGGGGGGGCUGCCGCACCCCCUAGGGUGGGAACCCUUGGGGUGGCACCCCCUCUCCCCUCCCCCUAUAUAUAUCGGGCACUUUUGGCCAUUGAGACACACGGUUUUCCCUCUCUCUCGGCACAGCCCCGCCCUUCUUCCUCCUCCUCUCUGCCGGUGCUUGGCGAAGCCCUGCCGGGAGACCUCGUCUCUCCACCGACACCACGCCGUCGUGCUGCUGGAGUUCUUCCCCAACCUCUCCCUCCUCCUUACUGGAUCAAGGUGCGGGAUACGUCACCGGGUUGCACGUGUGUUGAACGCGGAGGUGCCGUAAUUCGGCACUAGAUCGGAAUCGCUGCGAGUACGACUCCAUCAACCACGUUCUAGCAACGCUUCCGUUUAGCGAUCUUCAAAGGUAUGAAGAUGCUCUUACCCCUCUCUCGUUGCUGGUCUCUCCAUAGGAAGAUCUGAAUAUGCGUAGGAAAAUUUUGAAUUUAUGCUACGUUACCCAACAGCCUACUCCCCGACGACCUGUACUACGACGACAGGUACGCCACCGACUCCACCCUCUGGGACACGUGGGUCAGGGACGACCACGACGUGCGGCGCGCCUCCUACUUCGCCGACACAGUGUCCGGGCCGCGGCGGGCACGGGAGGUGCGCGGGCAUACACGGGUGCGCGGCCUCACGCCCAUGCCGUCGCCUUCCUCGUCUCCGGCAUCACCUCCACCUUCUCGCAUGACAUCGUAGGAGGAGGCCCGACUCAUGCAACGUGUCAUGGAGGACUCCAUGAUGACGCAUGAUGAACGCCAAUGGCCGCGCCUAGAGGAGGCGAUGGCCCUCUCUGCGGCCGGCGACGUCGCCAUCCCCGAGCUGAUGGAGGGGGAGGAGGUGAUGGAGGACGCCCCGGUGGCCGCGUUCCCUCCGAAUCUGGUGGGCCAGCAGUGGAGCUGGUCGUGCACGGCGUCGGAGAUGGCGCGGGCAGUGGGGCUGUGAACUGGUGCCCCACGCCGCCGCGGUCACCGGAGCGGGACGCCUCGCCACGGGAGGAGGUGCUGCAGGCACCUGCCAGCUUCCAGCCCGCCCCGCGCACCACGGACCGCGGGCCCACCUCUGGACGCCGCCGACCUACGUCGACCUCGUCUGCGAUGGCGACGAUGACGACACCGGCGGUCAGUCAAGACGGCGACGGCCACGGCAUCUACAGGCUUUUUUUUAUAUGUUAAUUAUGUCAAACUGGACCCUCCUUUUUUAUGUUAAUGUUAUGUUUUAAGUUUUUUUAACUGCGUUUAUUUACUUUUUAGUUAAAUUUUUCUAUUUUUUAAUCAUUUUCAACACAAGCAUGAUUUGAGAUGCGCACGACCCAACAGACAGAAGCGGACAUGAACGCGGCCGAAACCGGGCGUCCGUUUGGGGUCGUGCUGUAGAGUUGGCGUGAAAGCUCUACACAAAUCUCGCUGGAACCGGCCGUGCGUGUUUCGCGUCGCCUCAUCCGUUCGGCUGGGGGCCUGUAGGAACGCCGCGUGACGGGAGCAAGCGACGGCGACACGCCACUGAUCUCUUGCGGAGGUCAUCUGAAACCGUAACAGGGGCGAGAAACAGGAACAGAAAACAGAAGCGGAAAGUUGUUGCUUCAAAUCAUCCUCAUCCAUGGACGGAUAAGCCUCCCGUCACGGGUCAAAGAUGAGAUGCAUGUACCUUGCGUCUCCAAUUUGUCAGUCAUGUACUGCACAUCCAUAUCCAGAAACAAUGGCGUUUGUUUUACACCGCGUGGAGCAGAGGACGAGCUCACUCUGUGUACACGGCAGAGGAGGAAGAAGCUCACUCCAUGUUACAGCUAAACUGGGUCAAAAGUUCCUAACUAUAUCUUGCUAUGGCAUGUCGGCGUUGAUUUGUUUACUGGCAGUUGUCGCCGGGACGCUCGCCGGCCACGGACACGGCGGAGAGCCGGCUAGGCCUGGGGCGGAACCCGCCCGCGCGCCUCGGGUGCUGCGCGGCGGGGGACGGCGCGAGGGCUCUGCGGGCGCACUGCCCGCUGUCCAUGCGCUUCGAGCCCAGGCUGCAGGCGCUGCGGACGGACGGCAGGGAGGCGGGCUUGCCGCUGCCGGCUGGGGCCGCUGCCGCCGCCUGCUUGUGGAGGCUGCACCGGAACGAGCCCGGGUGGUUCGUUGAGGAGCACAUGCAGGACCGCCGGCUCCUGGCGCUGGAGGACGGGGAGGAGACGCUGACGGACUUGCCCGGCGAGCGGGCGGGGAGGUUGACGCGGGUGGGCGAGGCUGAGCGGUAGCUGGGGAUCGACAGCACCGGGCCGCUGGGCCGACUCGCAGUCGCCGUCGCCAUGAGAG
rnacentral:lncRNA from 1 species